UUCACCCGACCAAUCUUAAAAUGAGCGGGUGAAAUUUCACCCGCUCUUGGUUUUCCCUCUCAUGCCUUUACCCUUUGUGAUUUCACCCGUCUCCUCCUCCCUCUGCAGUCGACGACAGCUUCUCCUCCCUCGCGUUCGAGCAUAUCUCCCUUCUCACCGUCGCUGCUCUCACCGUCACCUUUUCGCCGUCGCCGCUUCGCUCAUCCGCCGGUUCACCAACGCCACAGUCGCCGCUCAAUUGUGAAGAAAUAUUAUACAAGUUAUUAUUAGCAUGGAAGACAACGGUCCAUCGAGGGAGAAUCUUACGUGGACUGAAGUACAAAUGAACUAUUUAGUCCAGCUUCUUGUGGAGCAAUCACGCAUUCCUGGUAUGAAAUCUGGUGGAGACUUGAAGUCCAAAGCGUAUACAGCAAUAGAAAAAAGCAUGAUGGACAGAUUCGGUCCUGAAUUCAGUAAAGACAAAGUAAAAAACAAAUUGAAGUACUCAAAACCCAACUUGACAGUCAUGAAAGAAAUUUUGAAUACAAGCGGGUUUGGGUAUGACCCAAUUAACAAAUGCAUUGAAGUCGACCCCCAAGUAUGGAAUGACUACAUUGAGAAAUAUCCGAACAGAAAAAAGUACAGAGGUCCCAAGUUAUGGAGAUACUUUGACGAGUUCGCCGAGGUCUUUGGCAAUUCUCAUGCCACUGGAAAUGAGUCAGCCACAUUAAACAACAUACUACAUGAGGACGUUGAAUCAGUACCACAUACACCUGCAUCUCAAUCCACUCCAAUGUACAUGAAUCCUGAAUCUUCACAAUCCUUUACACAAAUGCUGUAUGAAGAUAGUCCUCCACCACCAUCGCCAGGACAUCCAAUUCCUACCACUGAAAAUCCAAUGAUGGCACCUAAUAGGACCACUAGUAGGUCUAAAAGGCACAGGUCAACCAAUUAUGAAGAAUACUAUAAUUUGUUGAACAGUAUUGCUCACAGUGUAGAUACGAUGACACGUACAUGUAAAGGGGUACAAUUUGUGACAUGUUGCGAAAUACUGCAAGAAAUGGUUGAAACCGGACAUAUAGAUAUUGAAACACAAGUAAGGAGUAUGGAUAUGUUAGCAGAGGGCAGCAAUUACAUGAUAUUUAUCAACCUUCCACCUUCACAGCGGGUGUCAUGGUUGAGGCGUAAACUUUCCAAUUCGUAGAAUCGUGCCACGCAUAAUACUUUUCAACAUUUAGGACAAACAAUAAGUAAGUAUGUCAGCUGUGUACUACGAGCAAUAUGUAUAAUGGGUAAAGAUUUUGUCCGGCGGCCCAAUGAUGACAUGCCAACUAAAAUUCGGAGAUCCAAGCGAUUCAAUCCAUAUUUCUAGGUAAUUUCAUAUUUGUAAUCUAAACAAAACACGACAACAUCCGACAUACAACAUAACUAACUUGCACAUAUGAAUGUAGGAUUGUUUAGGAGCAAUUGAUGGCACCCAUGUACCUGCAUGGGUCGCAACAUCAGACCAAACAAGAUUUCGCAAUAGAAAAGGAUUUAUUUCGCAAAAUGUCAUGAUUGUAGUUGGAUUCGACAAUCGAUUCCACUACGUUUUGGCAAGAUGAGAAGGAAGUGCGACGGACUCAAGGGUAUUAUACAAUGCACUUGAUCAUCCAACCGACUCAUUUGUGGUCCCAGAAGGCAAAUACUAUCUUGCGAUGGGGGUUAUCCAAACAUUGUUGGUUUGCUAACACCUUAUCGAGGGCAUCGUUACCAGGGCGCGCACACCUCGAACUCCAAAAGAAUUAUUCAACCAUAGGCACUCAUCACUUCGAAAUACAGUAGAAAGAACUUUUGGCAUGUUGAAAGCUCGUUUUCCAAUAUUAAAAAUGCAAGUGCAGUAUCCAUUUAAAAAACAAGUUGAAAUUGUUCUUGCUACAUGUGUAUUGCACAACUUCAUAAUUGACCACAAUCCAAAUGCUGAACAAUUUGAUGUUGAGGACACACCUUCAAAUGAUAAUUUUGUCAUAAGCGAACCGAAAAUUGCAAGCCAAACACACCAGCGAGGAAGCAACAAUCCCAUGAGAACAACUAUAACAAAUCAAAUGUUUGCAGAUUAUCAAUUUAAUAGUAAGUUUAUUUUUAUCAAUUGACUAUUGUUGCAUGUGGUUGUUUAAC